AAACAAAACAAGAACAGUAGCCAUGUGAAACAACAAACAAAAUGACUAAGGCAUCUCGGCGCCUCGGCAAGCUCUUUUCUCACGGAGCCACGGCAUAAAGAAGUGAAUGAAGUACAGUAGCUUAACAUGCACCGCAUGAGUAUGUGCGGAGCCACUUCUGCUGAUUUACUAACUCGUUUUGUUUGAGGGGCACUUGAAAGGCCUUGACAUUUACAGCUCUGUAGGCAAACGUGAAAGGAAAGAAUGGAUUCUGUACCUCCAACCUCCCAGCUGCUGGUGAAUGUCUGCUGAACAGAGCCCCGUGAGAUCAGGAGGCGCUGAGCCCCGCGGCUUCCCAGAGGCCAGAGUACAAGGGAGGGCGAUGGGAGGCUGAGUGUUUGGAUGUAACACACAGACAGGAAGCACUGCUGGUUCUGUGGUUUAGACAUGGCUGUUCUGAAAUAUGCUCAGGGUGUGCACUGGAAGACAGAGCUCCUCUCUGCCAAACUGAUUUGGAGCACUAAUCUGAAAUGUCUGAGAGUUCCAGAGAUCAACAGCAAUAUCCAUUCUUCCAGUUUCACACUGUCUGCUCCAUUACCUCAGGUACUCAGCGGGGAGAAGCCAUUCAGCAUACUUGAAGUUGUUCCUGCUUGCAUUUUCUCCCCCACUUCUUCCUUUGUAGGCUUUUCUUUGUUGUUGUUGUUUGUUUUUUAAUGGCAAGAAAGAAGAUAAAUAGCAAAGACUGCUGCAGGGGAAACACUGGGGAUACAACCACCUAAUUAUGAAUUUCCUGAGCGUGCAACAUGACCAGGAGCAACUGGACAGGAUUAGCAUUGUAUGUUUCAUCUCCAGCUGUUUCAUGAAUAUCAAUCUACAAAAUCUUCCAAGAGGAACAUUUUUUCUGUGGCCCUGCUUCUGGCCUUAACAAUGCAAGCAACACUGCUUUGUUUUCUUUAGACACCAAACUGAAACAAGAGCUUUCAACAAACCAGCCC
ensembl:lncRNA